GACGAACGCUGGCGGCGUGCCUAAUACAUGCAAGUCGAGCGAACAGAUGAGGAGCUUGCUCCUCUGACGUUAGCGGCGGAUGGGUGAGUAACACGUGGGCAACCUGCCCUGCAGAUGGGGGUAACUCCGGGAAACCGGGGCUAAUACCGAAUGAUCAGUUUGUUCGCAUGAACAAACUCUAAAAGACGGUUUCGGCUGUCACUGCAGGAUGGGCCCGCGGCGCAUUAGCUAGUUGGUGAGGUAACGGCUUACCAAGGCGACGAUGCGUAGCCGACCUGAGAGGGUGAUCGGCCACACUGGGACUGAGACACGGCCCAGAAUCCUACGGGAGGCAGCAGUAGGGAAUCUUCCACAAUGGACGAAAGUCUGAUGGAGCAACGCCGCGUGAACGAUGAAGGCCUUCGGGUCGUAAAGUUCUGUUGUAAGGGAAGAACAAGUGCCGCAGGCAAUGGCGGCACCUUGACGGUACCUUGCGAGUAAGCCACGGCUAACUACGUGCCAGCCGCCGCCGUAAUAC
rnacentral:rRNA from 1 species